UAGGGAAUAUUAGUAAUGGGCGAAAGCCUGAACUAGCAACACCGCGUGUGCGAAGAAGGCCUUCGGGUUGUAAAGCACUUUUUGAGAGGAUGAGGAAGGACGGUACUCUCAGAAUAAGUCUCGGCUAACUACGUGCCAGCAGCCGCGGUAACACGUAGGAGGCAAACGUUAUCCGGAUUUACUGGGCGUAAAGCGCGUGUAGGUGGUUUGGUAAGUAGAGCGUGAAAGCUCCUGGCUCAACUGGUCUGGGUCGUUCUAAACUUCCUGACUAGAGGAUGGUAGAGGCUGGUGGAAUUCCGGGUGUAGCGGUGGAAUGCGCAGAUAUCCGGAGGAACACCAGUGGCGAAAGCGGCCUCCUGGACCACUCCUGACACUCAGACGCGAAAGCUAGGGUAGCAAACG
rnacentral:rRNA from 1 species